CCCAGUCGCUAGGGGUGCCCCUCGAGAGGGGCUGAGACGGCCGCGCGGCGCGGCCAACCCUUGGAACCUGAACCGGGUCAUACCGGCGGAGGGAAGCGGCAUGGAGCCCAC
rnacentral:ncRNA from 2 species